CUGCCUCAAGACACUACAGCCCAAUCUCUGAGGUCCCAGAAGAUCUAGGAAAGAAGUGGGUGUGAAGCCACAGGAACAGAGGCCAGAUCUGCCUGCUCUGCCCCUCUCUGAGGUCUCAGGGUUAAACCAAGGAUCUGGUACUGGCAGGUACGUGGCUGGAUUUGCUUUGCUCAAGUCUACAAAUCAAUUUAGAAGCACCCUAAUCCUCCCCGGGAUGACAAACAAGAAGAAGCAACACAGAACACCAGUGAGAAAACAGCCCUGAGGUCAGGAAACCAUGCUAAGUCUGCUACCAAUCAGUAACAUGAACUUGAAAAGUCACUUAAACUCUGUGGGCUUCAGUCUCCCCUGUGAAAUAGAUCAUUAAGUGAAGUUCUCCUUAGACGACAGACACCAGAAGACAAAGACAUUUACAGAGCCACCCUUGGGAGCCCAGUUGUCAUCUUGGCUCAGGAAGUCCCCACAUUCAUCUGCUAGGUGUAGAAGCCAUCCGGAGCUCUGCUGCGGGCCAUCUGGGACUAGAAAUUUGCCUGGAGUUUGUAAGCAGGAGCCCCUUCCAAGAGCAGAGAAAGCAUAGCCUGGGGCACGGGCCCUGUGGCUCCGGAGCACCUCUGGAAGGGACACACCCCAGGAAGACGCGCGGGGGCCCUCCUGGCCGCCUCUGGUAAGCCUUUCAGGCCUGUCUUCACCAGCGUGAAUUUGUCUCUUUCAAAGGGACGACAUUGAGGUCGGCAUGCCUACUGAGCAUUCCAUGUUUUCUGGAAAGUGAACGUACGGAAGCAGCUAACAGGACACAGACGUACGUGAGCAGAUUUAUCCUGCCUGCCUGCUGAGGAUGCCAUCGGCUGGAGGCUGAACUGCCAGCUUCACAGAUUUCCUAUAAGUUGCCCAUUAUUAAAUUUUAAUUACAUAGUUGAACUAAGAGCUUUAUGCUAAUAAAGACAAACUAGAAAUAAAACUUUCAAAAGGGACAAUUGUCCUAAUCUAUUUCACUUGGGUCUAGGGAGAUAGAUCAUUGUUUCA
rnacentral:lncRNA from 10 species